rnacentral:rRNA from 1 species
GACAGAGGUCCCGAGCGUUAGGCGGAAUCACUGGGCUUAAAGCGUGUGUAGGCGGAUGUCUAAGUACCUUGUGAAAUCCCACGGCUUAACCGUGGAAUUGCUUGGUAUACUGGAUGUCUUGAGCCAGCUAGGGGCAACCGGAACAAAUGGUGGAGCGGUGAAAUGCGUAGAUAUCAUUUGGAACGCCAAUGGUGAAAACAGGUUGCUGGGGCUGUGCUGACGCUGAGACACGAAAGCCAGGGGAGCAAACGGG